GUUACUACACACAUCUCUACAUUUACUGUGAUAUACUGUACACUCCGACAGUCUAGGAUGUCACUGGAGGUAGGUGUAACUACACACAUCUCUACAUUUACUGUGAUAUACUGUACACUCCGACAGUCUAGGAUGUCACUGGAGGUAGGUGUUACUACACACAUCUCUACAUUUACUGUGAUAUACUGUACACUCCGACAGUCUAGGAUGUCACUGGAGGUAUGUGUAACUACACACAUCUCUACAUUUACUGUGAUAUACUGUACACUCCGACAGUCUAGCAUGUCACUGGAGGUAGGUGUUACUACACACAUCUCUACAUUUACUGUGAUAUACUGUACACUCCGACAGUCUAGCAUGUCACUGGAGGUAGGUGUUACUACACACAUCUCUACAUUUACUGUGAUAUACUGUACACUCCGACAGUCUAGCAUGUCACUGGAGGUAGGUGUUACUACACACAUCUCUACAUUUACUGUGAUAUACUGUACACUCCGACAGUCUAGCAUGUCACUGGAGGUAGGUGUUACUACACACAUCUCUACAUUUACUGUGAUAUACUGUACACUCCGACAGUCUAGCAUGUCACUGGAGGUAGGUGUUACUACACACAUCUCUACAUUUACUGUGAUAUACUGUACACUCCGACAGUCUAGCAUGUCACUGGAGGUAGGUGUUACUACACACAUCUCUACAUUUACUGUGAUAUACUGUACACUCCGACAGUCUAGCAUGUCACUGGAGGUAGGUGUUACUACACACAUCUCUACAUUUACUGUGAUAUACUGUACACUCCGACAGUCUAGCAUGUCACUGGAGGUAGGUGUUACUACACACAUCUCUACAUUUACUGUGAUAUACUGUACACUCCGACAGUCUAGCAUGUCACUGGAGGUAGGUGUUACUACACACAUCUCUACAUUUACUGUGAUAUACUGUACACUCCGACAGUCUAGCAUGUCACUGGAGGUAGGUGUUACUACACACAUCUCUACAUUUACUGUGAUAUACUGUACACUCCGACAGUCUAGCAUGUCACUGGAGGUAGGUGUUACUACACACAUCUCUACAUUUACUGUGAUAUACUGUACACUCCGACAGUCUAGCAUGUCACUGGAGGUAGGUGUUACUACACACAUCUCUACAUUUACUGUGAUAUACUGUACACUCCGACAGUCUAGCAUGUCACUGGAGGUAGGUGUUACUACACACAUCUCUACAUUUACUGUGAUAUACUGUACACUCCGACAGUCUAGCAUGUCACUGGAGGUAGGUGUUACUACACACAUCUCUACAUUUACUGUGAUAUACUGUACACUCCGACAGUCUAGCAUGUCACUGGAGGUAGGUGUUACUACACACAUCUCUACAUUUACUGUGAUAUACUGUACACUCCGACAGUCUAGCAUGUCACUGGAGGUAGGUGUUACUACACACAUCUCUACAUUUACUGUGAUAUACUGUACACUCCGACAGUCUAGCAUGUCACUGGAGGUAGGUGUUACUACACACAUCUCUACAUUUACUGUGAUAUACUGUACACUCCGACAGUCUAGCAUGUCACUGGAGGUAGGUGUUACUACACACAUCUCUACAUUUACUGUGAUAUACUGUACACUCCGACAGUCUAGCAUGUCACUGGAGGUAGGUGUUACUACACACAUCUCUACAUUUACUGUGAUAUACUGUACACUCCGACAGUCUAGCAUGUCACUGGAGGUAGGUGUUACUACACACAUCUCUACAUUUACUGUGAUAUACUGUACACUCCGACAGUCUAGCAUGUCACUGGAGGUAGGUGUUACUACACACAUCUCUACAUUUACUGUGAUAUACUGUACACUCCGACAGUCUAGCAUGUCACUGGAGGUAGGUGUUACUACACACAUCUCUACAUUUACUGUGAUAUACUGUACACUCCGACAGUCUAGCAUGUCACUGGAGGUAGGUGUUACUACACACAUCUCUACAUUUACUGUGAUAUACUGUACACUCCGACAGUCUAGCAUGUCACUGGAGGUAGGUGUUACUACACACAUCUCUACAUUUACUGUGAUAUACUGUACACUCCGACAGUCUAGCAUGUCACUGGAGGUAGGUGUUACUACACACAUCUCUACAUUUACUGUGAUAUACUGUACACUCCGACAGUCUAGCAUGUCACUGGAGGUAGGUGUUACUACACACAUCUCUACAUUUACUGUGAUAUACUGUACACUCCGACAGUCUAGCAUGUCACUGGAGGUAGGUGUUACUACACACAUCUCUACAUUUACUGUGAUAUACUGUACACUCCGACAGUCUAGCAUGUCACUGGAGGUAGGUGUUACUACACACAUCUCUACAUUUACUGUGAUAUACUGUACACUCCGACAGUCUAGCAUGUCACUGGAGGUAGGUGUUACUACACACAUCUCUACAUUUACUGUGAUAUACUGAACACUCCGACAGUCUAGCAUGUCACUGGAGUACCUGUGUCGGACAUUCCCAAUCGUGGAUGAGAAUGUGCGGGAAGCUAUGGGAGAAGCCUUGUAUAAUAUCUUCAUGUCCAACCCGGAGUC
rnacentral:misc_RNA from 1 species